GACGAACGCUGGCGGCGUGCUUAACACAUGCAAGUCGAACGCUGAAGACCUGGCUUUUGUUGGGUUGGAUGAGUGGCGAACGGGUGAGUAACACGUGAGUAACCUGCCCUCUUCUUUGGGAUAACGCCCGGACACGGGUGCUAAUACUGGAUAUUCACUGAUCUUCGCAUGGGGGUUGGUGGAAAGGUUUGUUUUGGUGGGGGAUGGGCUCGCGGCCUAUCAGCUUGUUGGUGGGGUGAUGGCCUACCAAGGCUUUGACGGGUAGCCGGCCUGAGAGGGUGACCGGUCACAUUGGGACUGAGAUACGGCCCAGACUCCUACGGGAGGCAGCAGUGGGGAAUAUUGCACAAUGGGCGAAAGCCUGAUGCAGCGACGCCGCGUGAGGGAUGGAGGCCUUCGGGUUGGAAACCUCUUUCGCUCAUGGUCAAGCCGCAACUGUGGGUUGUGGUGAGGGUAGUGGGUAAAGAAGCGCCGGCUAACUACGUG
rnacentral:rRNA from 1 species